UUUUUCUUAAAUCAGGAUUUAUCGUCAAAGACACUGUAUCUAUAACCCACUGGCCUAAAUCACCUUCAGCCUCUUCCUUCUCUGAGAAGCCAGAGUCCUAUGGCCCUGUGGUCCAGCCUGAACUGGCCCGCUGUUCCCACAACUCUGUCCCCAAGUGUGGCCACACCAACAGUGGUGACAGGCACCCAGGAGGCCCAGUGGGGACCACAAAGUGGAAGCGCUCAAUCGGCCCCCAGCGGACCAGGGGUCCUUGAUGUUGGGAGAUGCUGGCUGGCCUCCCAAAGGCCUCAGACAGCCUCUCCACGCUGUCCUGAGCAGGCAGAGGGCUACUGCCAGGGGUGGAGCCGAAGGAGACCCAGCUCAGGAGCAGGAACGGAGCAGCCGCGCACAAUUCCAUCAUCCCGCAAACCUCUCUGUACGGGCCUGGCCUCAACACGACCUCCUGGGGUGUCAGGAGUCCGCAGAGGUGCAGAACUGCUCCCCGCUGCCCCGGGCACAGCCUCCCACUGCGAGGCUCAUGGCAGCGGGUCCCCUGGGCCCAGCCUCCCGCCGAUAAGACCCAGCCCGUGUCCUGACGUCGAAGCCCCUGGAACGCAGCUCGUGAAGUUGAUGCUUCGGCUCUUGUGCCUCCCGGGCUGUGGGGGAGGAGCAUGAGUCCUGGGCUGGUCGUGCCCCCGCUAGACGCCCCCAGCUGUGAGGUGGGGGUGGCAAGUCCUCCCUCGAGAUGGGCCAGGGGCCGGCAGCUCCUCACAAGAAAGUCACAGGACCAGUGGGGACCGGAAAGAAUCUCCAGUCCCACAGGACCCAAGGGAGACAGAGGAGCAGCAGUACCGGGGGACCCAUGGGCUCAGCACCAAGACCGUCAGAUCCUUGCCUUCCCCCUGCGAGCCCACCUCUAGGAGACUCUGCUAAGGGAAGGGCGUCACUCUGAGUGUCACAGGGACAAACCAGAGAAUACCGUGUGACCUUGGUGGCUGGAAAUGGUGUGGACGGCUUCCCAGGCCCCGGGCAAUGCUUCCCACCUGACGCCGGAUUUCAGUUCAGGACACAGGGCACCUUCGCACCACAGCAUCAUGAUGCUCACGGGGUCUGCAGUCUUGCCACUGUGGCAGGACACUGCUUUAUCCAUCCCCUCGGAUGGGCAUCCUCAUGCCGCGUGUUGUCAAAUCUGCGCCUGGCUCAUUCUCAAAGUGUGACAAGAUGAGAAAAGACCAUGUACAAAAUCGGAGGGAGAAAAGAUUUAAAGAACUUGCUAACAGCCAUAGCAGAGGGCCGGUCUGGUGGAUGCACGGGGGAGCAGGCAGUCCCUGGCUGGGGCGGAGAGGCAAGUCCUGUGCCCCGUCGGCUCACACAUGCAGUGUGCAUGGAGUGUUUCAUCACCAGUUUAAGGCAGCGCUGGAGGAAAGCAUGGCUCACAGUCGUGGGCGGGGCCACACCAUGGUGAUGUGGACAAAGGCGAUUGCAGCCCCAACUCAGACUCAGAGCAUCAAUUACCAGAUCACUAUUAUUACUAUUUUUAUUAUGGGCAAAACUCACCAGCCAACUUGGCCUGAGGCCAAGAGACAAGAAGGCACUCAGGGCAAGGACUAGAGAAGACCUGCCAGAGGGACCCUCCAGACCUGCUCUCCAACACACACAGCUCCCACGUGCAGACAGCUCUCCUGCGCCCGCCCUCACAGCCAACGAACCACACACCUCCAGCUGGCCAUGGGGCACCAAGCCCUGGUGCAGGGCGUGCCGGGCCCCGACUCUGGGAGGAAGGAGCACCGAGCGCAGAGCCCUGGGCCUCCUCAGUUGACACCGAGCCUCUCCCAUCACAAAAGGAGACAUCACUUCCAGAUUGGAGCUGUCUAGAUCCUAGCCUCGACACUGUGCUCACAAAUUAAAUGUUUGGUUUUAUCCCUGAUCAUAUAGACAUUCAGCGCAAGGAUUAAAAAGUACAGAGAAAAACCCUCUUUAAGAUCAGGUGGAGUAUUAGAGUCUCUAUGUUUGAGCUGGGUUGAAAUCGAGUUUGCUAUUAAACCGUGGCAUCAAAUCCUCUGUCGCAGUUCGACUUCAAUGGACUCGUUCAACACGCGCGGCAGAUCACCAAGCCCAGCUCCCCCGUGGGACGGGGUGGGGACCAGCUGAGGAUUAUCUCGGCACGACAGUGUGCCAGGCGCAAUAAAGAAAUUGAGCGAAAUCGGGGUCUGUACAGAAGGCCAUCCUCCUGUGGCCUCACACACGCAGUUGCCCAGAACGGCCCAGGGCUUGGAGCAAGCUCCGCGCACAUGUGCGCAGCACGACGUACAGACCUGGCAGAGCCCCGGCCGGUCCAGGCUAAGGCUGCUCCAGGCCCCGGCCAGCGGGAGGAGACAGGAGAUGGGCGGCUGCACUCCCCGAGUCCUGCAUGUACACGACCACACCCCGUUACUGAAGGAACAUCCCCACAGUCCUCAGACUUUGGGGACCCAGAGCCAGCCCGGCCAGUCCAUAGGCCCUCAGAAGUCACCCGUGGGGACACCGGGGUGACAGUGUGAGUUCAGGGGUGGGCCAUGUGUCCUCUGCUGGGACGUGCCCUCUUCCUUCAGGAUGCCGGCUCACGGCCAAGUUGUGUAGGCACACACACGGUGGUGUGUGCACACUAAGGCAGAUGUGCACGCAUUCACAUGUGUACGGAUUUCCUGGGCAGUCCCCGGGGGCCUGUGUGCUCUGUCCUGUGGGACUCAGCAGCCAGGGAGAAGUCCACUCGGACCGUCCACAGGGCCGCACACCACCUGCCUGCCGAGCUCGAGGACUCUCUCAUGGGCCCUCAUUUGCCUUCCAGCCCCGCCUCCCAGGAUGGCCGCCUGUGCUCCCAGGAGCUCAGCCUUGACACACCUGCCCAGCCCAGUCCCAGGAGACACUUUCAUGGCCAACCUCAGCCAUGUGCCUCCGUCCCCUGAAUGGAGAGCUCCCUCAGCCCCUGUGCCCAGGUUGAUGCCACCCUUCUGGGCCUGGAAACCUACAGCAUGGCCUGUGCUCAGGCCUGGCUCACCUGGGCUCCCAGACACACCCUGGAAGGGAAUCAGGGGGCACAAGGUAGCAUCAACUUGGCCCUUAACCCUGGCUGACCCCUCUAUCCCCACAGCUGAACCUCCCAGCUCAUCCCCCAGGAUCGGAGAGACCAGAGGUGGCACCCAAAAACUCAAAUGCGGACGACCAGGAGGGAAGGGCUCCCACGGGGUUCACAGGGCCCCAGGGGCUGCCUCACCGGGUUUGCCUGUGACUUCCUGGUUCUGGCCCACAGCAUCCUGCGGUCCAGACAGGCAGUUGGUCCUGCAGUAUUCCUGCCCUGAUUUGGCUUUCUUCUCCCAUCUUACAGAUGAACCUUGACUCCAUCCUGCUCUGUAAUUCAGCCCCAACUUCCCCUGACUGUCCCCACUAACAUAAUUGUGAAAUAUAAUUAUGGCUUUUCCAGCAAAGUCAAAAUCUUCUCAUGGAAACUUCCCAGAAUCCGGCUGGCCUCGUCCCAACCUGCUCCCAUCCCGUCACGUCAUCCCCCCAUCCUGUCCCACAGCCGUGCUCUCUCCUCCCUGGGCAGCCCUCCCACUCAGGCGGCGUCUCUGCCCAGAGGCUGGAUGAACUGGGACAAGAGGGCCAGGUGGCGGCCCAUCCCACAGUGGGCUGUACCCUCCCAGAACCUUCUGCCAGCUCAACAUGGAGGUGAGGAGCACCCUGCCCACUGCUUGGCCUGGCCUGCAGCCUCCUGCAGAUUGGAAAACACGAGAAGAGCCCAGGAAAGCACAGCAGCUCUGCUGAGAGGGGAAGGUGGAGAGAAUGGGCUCCCCUUUACCAGCUUAGGGGCCUCCGCUGGAAGCCAGCAGCCCGGCCCCUCCAGGUGUGUCAGGCCAGGCUCUGAGAGCCAGCGGGCAUCUGGACCUGCACAGGAGCCCAUGGAAGGGACUGCCACGAAAGAGGAAAAGGGUAAUGACACUGAUUACUGCGACCGGGCUGGCUCCCCAGGGCCUCCCAAAGCCCGGAUCAGAACAGCUCUACUUCAGUGGGGCUCCAUGGGGGGCCGAAAAUUAAAACCAUGCCGCCCCUGGCCAAGCUGCCCUCCUCCCCCGACCCAGGUCCCCCGGGCCACCCAUGCGAUCCGGCACCUGCCAACACGCCGCGGCGGGAGGCACCAGAGUGGGCUGCAGGCGCCAGGUGAUCUGAGCGCAUGGAAGCCACCACAUAGUUGUCAGGGACCUCCGCCUACUCUCACCACCACUGCCGUCACUCCCCUAGGACAGGACAGUGCCCAGAGGGGGCACGAUUGUCCUUGAGAUGGGAGCUUUCAGAGCCAGCUGCCACCCCAGCUGGGACCACGGCUUCAAGAAGAAAACACAGCACCCCGUCAAGGGCUGAGGUGCCCCUGCCAACGGCUGGGGAGACAGACGCCUGCUGCGGAGGAGCAGCUGUUUCUGGAAGGCUCUGGGCCCCCAACCUAGGGAGGGGAGGGUCAUUAGAGGUGGCCCCAGCCAGGCUUGCAAAGAGAGCAGGGCGGUUUGAAGUGGACCAUGUGAACAUGUGGGUGUGUGCUCCGCCCUGGAGAAGGCUGGAGGGAGACGCCAACUCCUCACAAGACAUCACAGGCCUCAGGUCCUGGCCUUCCUCCUGCCUGGCAGCGCCUGCUCCCCCGCAGAUCCCCGGCUGUGCCCACCCAGAAAGCCUGCCCAGGGAGCCCCUACUCACCCUUCAGGUCCAGAUGGGCCCUCCCACUCACACUGCACGCCCCCAGUGAAAGGACUCUUACAGGGUCACUGGGUCACCCUGCCUUUCACCUCCUCUCCCUCUUGCUGGGGGAGCAGGGGACAGUGAGAACGCCGAUGGCCACACAGCCCACUCCCACCCGACAUCAGCAGGCUGGGCUCACCUCUUCAGGAGCAUGUUCCAGAACUAAGUCCAGCUGACUCUCGAAAGUCCUACAAGGAGUGAGGCCACAGGGUCAGGGCUGAUGGCAUACCCAUGGGAGGUCCCUGACUUCUCCAUCAGGAGGGGACAGUUUGAGCCCUGGGACCACAGCAGCCCUGGCCUCUCUGCCAGGGGCCCUGGGUUCCCUCCUGCUCCAGCUCCCCAGGAGCCGGAGGAAGAUCCUUGUUGUUUGUCCUCUUCCACAUGCUGAGCCAGGCGGGUCCCAGCCCCUGCACCCCAUUCCAUGCUCAGUAACCCAAGAGCUCGAGGCCCAGUGAGCCUAUAAAGGCCAUAUGAGGUCUUGAUGUCCCCGACCCCACAGAGCCAACCCAGGCCUCCAGAACCCCAAUUGGUGACUUCAUCCAGGCCUGCUUCUGCCAGGGCUGCAUGAAAACCAUCCAGGAGGCCCCGUCCUCUCUGCAGGGAUGACAGAAGGAGCAGGUUGACCACAGCUACCAGCCCUGAUACUGGCCACCGAGCGGGGGUAGAGCACCCAGCAGCAAUACUGAGGCCCCUCCCGACCGGGAGGACUCUCCAGGCUCUGCCAAGGCCCAGGUCAGGGCUCCAGAGUGGUACCUACACACGGUGAAGCCGACCACAGACCUCUGGGUGCAGUGGCCUCACCCCCAUGGCCUUAAACGGUCACAGGAAGGCCAUGGAGCUGGCAUCAGCCUCGGUCUCCUGAGGGGCAAAUGGGCCAGUAGAUGAGACAACACUCCUCCUUCUCUGGACCAGGACCCCGCCGCCCAGAGCAGACGCUGCAAGGAAAGGCAGUGGACUGAGGGGUGAGGGGUGACAAGAGGGGGAUUGCAGGCCCAUCUCUGUACACAGCAGCCCCUCCCUCUUAAUGGCACGGCCACCCAGUGGGCCCCAGGGCUGGAAGAGGCCUGAAGACACACAGCAAGACUGACAACACAGCAAAGGGGGUUAGAAACAUGCCCCACUCAGUAAGAGAAGAACAGCCCCAGGGAUGUCCAGGACCCAAACCCUGGAACCUGGAAAAGGCUGAGUGUCACCGUGAGUGGUAAAGACAUGACCGAAUUCUUGAGCGGGGAGACGGUCCUGGGGGCAUGUCAUCACGGGGCCCCUAUAAGAGGAGAGUGAAGGGAGAUGGUCCUGGGGCUGUGUUAUCACAGGGUCCCUAAAAGAGGAAGGUGAAGGGAGAUGGUCCUGGGGCCAUGUCGUCAUAGGGUCCCUAUCAGAGGGAAGCAGAGGGACGCCGGGAUACAGAGAGGACGAGGCCAGGUGAAGCCAGAUGCAGAGGUUGGAGUGACGCCCUCUGAAAAUGGAGGAAGAAGCCACGAGCCAAGGAAUUGGGAAAGGCCAGGAACAGACCUCCCCUGGAGAUUCCGGAAGAAACCAGCCCUGGCUGCCCCUUGAUUCCAGCUCAAUGAGACCUGUCUCAGACUUGUGACUGCAUAACUGUAGAGAAUAAAUUUGUGUUGUUUUAAACCACUGAGGGCCCGGUACUCUAUCACAGCAGCCACAGCAAACACGCCCUGGCUAGAGGCUGGGUUGCCAUCACAGCACCCCGGGCCUGAUGUCCAGGGAUGGCCCAGUGCUAGCUAGAGGGGGCAAGGCUGGCUCACCCAGGGUGGAAGGGCCUGGCAGAUGCUGGCUCCAGGAGGGCCCUGUGGGUGCGGGCCUGGGCAGAGCCGGGCAGUGAAGGGCAGUUGAAGGGAGAGGCGUGACCUUGAGUACCUUCCAGCCUGGUCACACAUCACAGAGCCGGCCCCUGCUGGUCCUCAUCCUCCCUGCUUCCUGAAGAGGCUGCCCACCCCCCGACCUCAGCUAGGCCACAGGCUGGGGGCUCGCCUCACAGCAAACACUGGCACCCCAGCCACCACGGCCCUGCUGGUGGGAGAUGGACUCUAAGAAGACACAGCCGGGCCCAGGGCUCAGAGGAUUCAGAUUCCCUGUUAUCACAUUAAAUACUGAUUCUCAGCAACAGUGUAACUGGGCACACUUGAUUGUACCCAGCCCUAGCCUGGAGCCACGUGGCUGGCUGGUCCCUGAAACCCGGCACCCCCUGCAAGGUAGGAUACAUUUCUGCAUCUCAGUGAGUAGGGAGGCUCAGGGUCCCAUCGUCGCCCAAGGCCGGAAGCAGCAAGAGGACAGGCCGGAUCCAAACUCAGAUCAUCAGCUGCCACCCAGGAUCCCCGCUGUCCUUCUGCAUAUCAUUACACACUCUAAAUUCUGGGAUGUCUCAAACAUAUCAGAAAAUCCUGACGGUGUGAGAUUUUCCCCCUAAGUCGCCUCAACGUGAGAGCAGAAAGAGGCUCGCAUGGGGCAGGAGCAACUAGUUACAGCCACUCGCCCCAUAACAACGAUUCAGUCAACAGCAGUCACAUAUCCAAUAGGGUCCCAUAAGAUUAGUACCACAGAGCCUAGGUGUGUAGGGGGCUAUACCACUUAGGUUUGCGUAAGUGCCCCGUGAUGGUCACACGACGAUGACAUUGCCUGACGACGCGUUUCUCAGAACAUGUCCCCAUCGCUAAACCAGACGUGCCUGUACCCGGGUCCCUGCACCAGAGUCCAAUCCAUUUGUUGGGUAGUGAAUGUGGCUCCGAGAGGCCCGCGGGGGGCCACGUCUCCUGGGUCUGGUAAUGAGGCCAUGAGGGGCUCUGAUCCAAAGAGCUUUGUCUGACUGCACAGCCCGGGGACCUGGACGCAAUCACAGGAAUGCUGCCAUGCACAGGAGCUGGGGGACGGCAAGCAGAACCCCAGGGCCAAUGCGGCCGGCCCGCUCCAGGUCUUGUUGGGGCUGCAGACUGGGGCGUCAGAGGAACAGGAGCCCCCCUCUUGAGUCCUGGGAAGCUCCUUCCCCAUCAAGGAAGCCUGCUCAGGCCACUUCCUUCUGGAAACGCAGGGAGGCUGCGUGACCAGCCCUGCCCAUAAGGAGGACAUGUUGUGGGACGCGGCUGCCUACUAGGAGCCACAUGCACACCUGGGCCGGCCACAGCUGCUGCCCAGGAGCCUCAAGUGGCCUGCUUCAGCCCUGGCCUGGCCACAGAAAGGCCAGGACUCAGACCUCCUCCACAGCAGCUGGGCGUGCCCCUACCUUCGGGAGUGGCUGGGCCCACAGGAGCCCCUGACUCGACCUCUCACCUGGCCCAACAGUUUCUCCAUCUGAGGGGUGCAGAACAGGGUGAGUGGAGCCAGACUCUCCCCAGAGCGUUCCUGAAGGAAAACCCGUGACUCCAAAACACAGGCCCGCUGUCUGCAGAAGGUGCACGGACCCCCUGUCCUCUCUGACCUUGAGCCUCCCUCCCCAGGAGCAAGUGCCCGGCCGGCCCCUCCCAGCUGGCUGCCCUGCGGGGCCCCGGUUAUUUCUACACCGGAGGGUGUUUUGGGGGCUCCCCUGGGCUGGUCCUCAGGCUGGGGGCCUGGUUUCAGGUAGAAAAACAAAAGGAGGCGAGCGCCUCGCCCAGCAGAUGCACCUUCUGCUCCCUUCCCUGGCUGUGGGUUCACCCUGCAGGGACUUGGGGCCUGGACACCUCCCCUGACCUGGCCACCCUACCCCAUGGCUGCUGCAUGGGCGUCUAUGCAGGGAGAGAAAGGAGACACCGGCACUUUGAUUGCCCUUCCCAAGGCAGGGAACGCGCCCCAAGACUUCGUUACUAAGCGCCUCACCUCCGUCCAGCUGGCUCCCAGUUAAUUAGCCCUGUUAAUGUGCGUAUUAAUGAGGCACUGCCUGCCAGUGGAGCACGUGGCCCCAGGGCCCGUCCCAAGCUGGCCUGGAAGGCUGCUGGCACAACAUCGGACACCUGGGUAAUUACUCUGCAGUUGGCGACUCCGCAAAGGUCGACAAAAGGCACGCCGGCAUCACUCGCCACGCAUCCUGCUACAGGCAGGGACCACAAUGCCCGCCGGCCUUCAGCCAGAGACGCCGGGACAUCAGGCAGCCCCUCUGUCUCGGGGCCAGGGUGACAGGACCCUGGCUGCACCCCGCCUUCCUAGAUCUUGCCCACCCCUGACAAGGUGCCCUGUGUGGUCAAAGCAGGACCUGGAGACCUAGAGAGGCCCUGGACCAAGAGGGACAACAGCCCCCUCAGCUGGAAAGAGCCCAGUGUGUUAUGUGAGCUGAGCUCUGACUGGAGAAUCUGGAACUUGCUGUGUCAGCGGCAAAGGGAAGUUCUUGUCACAGCGUCCUCGGCUCCUGCCCCCGACGGACCCCAGUCCAGUUACUUCUAGACUGAGCCCCCUGCCUCCAGGCUGGGUAUGGCUUCCUGUGGCCUCACUCCCCGCAUGGCAGACGGGAUGGACCUGGGCACCCCAGGGACCUGGAGCCCAGAGGAGCUGCCAGGAUCACGGUGCGGAUUCCUGGAUGAGGCUCAGUGUCCACACGUGGCCAGUCCAGCCCAUCAC